rnacentral:rRNA from 1 species
AAUGAACGCUGGCGGCGUGGAUUAGGCAUGCAAGUCGAACGCGAAAGUUCCCUUCGGGGAGCGAGUAGAGUGGCGAAAGGGUGAGUAAUGCUUGGAUGACCUGCCCUCGAGACGGGGACAACAGUUCGAAAGGACUGCUAAUACCCGAUAGUCCGGUUUAGAUGCGUCUAGAUCGGUAAAUGGUGCUUCCGCUCGAGGAGGGGUUCAAGUCCUAUCAGCUUGUUGGUGAGGUAACGGCUCACCAAGGCGAUGACGGGUAGCCGGACUGAGAGGUUGGCCGGCCACAUGGGAACUGAGACACUGUCCUGACUCCUACGGGAGGCUGCAGUCGAGGAUCUUCUGCAAUGGGCGAAAGCCUGACAGAGCGACGCCGCGUGGAGGAUGAAGGCCCUCGGGUCGUAAAUUCCUGUCACAUGUUAUGAAACGCACAGGUCUACCUGUGCGCUGACAAAAGCAUGAGAGGAAUUCACGGCUAACUUCGUG